rnacentral:rRNA from 1 species
CAGCAGCCGCGGGAAUACGGAGGGUGCAAGCGUUAUCCGGACUCACUGGGUUUAAAGGGUGCGUAGGUGGGCAGGUAAGUCAGUGGUGAAAUCUCUGGGCUUAACCCGGAAACUGCCGUUGAUACUAUCUGUCUUGAAUAUAGUGGAGGCGAGCGGAAUAUGUCAUGUAGCGGUGAAAUGCUUAGAUAUGACAUAGAACACCGAUUGCGAAGGCAGCUCGCUACACUAUCAUUGACACUGAGGCACGAAAGCGUGGGGAUCAAACAGGAUUAGAUACCCCCGUAGUCCCUGUCUCUUAUAC